rnacentral:rRNA from 1 species
GAUGAACGCUAGCGGCAGGCCUAAUACAUGCAAGUCGAACGGUGUCUUCGGACAUAGUGGCGCACGGGUACGUAACACGUAUGCAACCUACCCUACAUUGGGGGAUAGCCUUUCGAAAGGGAGAUUAAUACCGCAUAAGACAGUAGCUGGGCAUCCAGCAGCUGUUAAAGAUUUAUCGAUGUAAGAUGGGCAUGCGUCCAAUUAGUUAGUUGGCGAGGUAACGGCUCACCAAGACUUUGAUUGGUAGGGGAACUGAGAGGUCAAUCCCCCACAAUGGCACUGAGAUACGGGCCAGACGCCUACGGGAGGCAGCAGUAGGGAAUAUUGGGCAAUGGACGCAAGUCUGACCCAGCCAUGCCGCGUGCAGGAUGAAGGCGUUAUGCGUUGUAAACUGCUUUUAUACAGGAAGAAACGACUCUUGCGAGAGGCAUUGACGGUACUGUAUGAAUAAGCACCGGCUAACUACGUGCCAGCCGCCGCCGUAAUAC